UACGAAGGGGGCUAGCGUUGCUCGGAAUCAUUGGGCGUAAAGCGCACGUAGGCGGUCCAGCAAGUCGGGUGUGAAAGCCCUCGGCUUAACCGAGGAAGUGCAUUCGAAACUACUGGACUUGAAUACUGAAGAGGAUCGCGGAAUUCCCGGUGUAGAGGUGAAAUUCGUAGAUAUCGGGAGGAACACCAGUGGCGAAGGCGGCGAUCUGGGCAGAUAUUGACGCUGAGGUGCGAAAGCGUGGGGAGCAAACAGG
rnacentral:rRNA from 1 species